GCAGCAGUGGGUAUGCUUCUGGAGUGGGUGUGUUCUUGAUGGGAUUGACAGCUGUCUUCUCUGCAGGAGGACCAAGAAAACCAAUUCUCAGAGACCUACAGCCAGACAGGAUGAUCACAGACAAUAUGAUUUGGUGAUGGGAGCUAUGAGCAGUGCAGGCAUGUUGGAUUCAAGGGAUGCUGGGUUCUAUUCU